CAGUCGUGAGGAAGGCGGGUACGUUAAUAGCGUAUUCGUUUGACGUUAGCGACAGAAGAAGCACCGGCUAACUCCGUGCCAGCAGCCGCGGUAAUACGGAGGGUGCGAGCGUUAAUCGGAAUUACUGGGCGUAAAAGCGCAUGCAGGUGGUUUGUUAAGUCAGAUGUGAAAAGCCCGGGCUCAAACCUCGGAAAUUGCAUUUGAAAACUGGCAGACUAGAGUACUGUAGAGGGGUAGAAUUUCAGGUGUAGCGGUGAAAAUGCGUAGAGAUCUGAAGGAAUACCGGUGGCGAAGGCGGCCCCCUGGACAGAUACUGACACUCAGAUGCGAAAGCGUGGGGAGCAAACAGGAUUAGAUACCCUGGUAG
rnacentral:rRNA from 1 species